UGGGGAAUAUUGGACAAUGGGCGAAAGCCUGAUCCAGCCAUGCCGCGUGUGUGAAGAAGGUCUUCGGAUUGUAAAGCACUUUAAGUUGGGAGGAAGGGCAGUAAGCGAAUACCUUGCUGUUUUGACGUUACCGACAGAAUAAGCACCGGCUAACUCUGUGCCAGCAGCCGCGGUAAUACAGAGGGUGCAAGCGUUAAUCGGAAUUACUGGGCGUAAAGCGCGCGUAGGUGGUUCGUUAAGUUGAAUGUGAAAGCCCCGGGCUCAACCUGGGAACUGCAUCCAAAACUGGCGAGCUAGAGUAGGGCAGAGGGUGGGGGAAUUUCCUGUGUAGCGGUGAAAUGCGUAGAUCUAGGAAGGAACACCAGUGGCGAAGGCGACCACCUGGGCUCAUACUGACACUGAGGUGCGAAAGCGUGGGGAGCAAACAGG
rnacentral:rRNA from 1 species